GAGUGAUAUGAUGGUAUACCAUCUUUCGGGACUGACCUAUGCAAUGGAGAGUUCCUUCUGAUUUACUGAUCACUG
rnacentral:snoRNA from 1 species